rnacentral:rRNA from 1 species
UGAUUUGAGAUGGCCUCUCGCCCUAUUCAGUGUAACAGCUGUGGUAGUGGGUUUGGUCGCUCGCAUUUAAAUUGGAAGGGUAAUGGUGGACCGCACUUCUCCCUUAGUAGGACGUUGCGACCUGUCAAAUAAUAUCCUAAGUAUUUGGCUAAUUUGUCUGUUUUUAGGCAGUACUGAAAGGUAUUUCCUUUAACAGUUUUAGCCGUUUAGAUACUGGAUAUAAUUGACAGUAACGAAUCAUGGUGUUGAGCCACUUACUUUGUAAGUGUCCUUUAUGGCUGUUUGCAAGUGGGUUGGUUAAUUAGUUUUAGUCGGAUUUCGGUCCGUCUAACUAUUCCGCCUACUGUUGGUAAACUGUUCCUUGGACAGUGCUUAUAACACCGGUCGGCAGCGAUUCAGGUUCAGGCUCUUAUCCGACCCGUCUUGAAACACGGACCAAGGAGUUUAGCGUGUACGCAAGUCAUUGGGUGUAUAAAACCCAAAGGCGCAAUGAAAUUGAAA